AUUGAACGCUGGCGGCAGGCUUAACACAUGCAAGUCGAGCGAGCGGCGGACGGGUGAGUAAUGUCUGGGAAACUGCCUGAUGGAGGGGGAUAACUACUGGAAACGGUAGCUAAUACCGCAUACCAUCAGAUGUGCCCAGAUGGGAUUAGCUAGUAGGUGGGGUAAUGGCUCACCUAGGCGACGAUCCCUAGCUGGUCUGAGAGGAUGACCAGCCAAACCGGAAACGAGACACGGGCCAAAAUCCUACGGGAGGCAGGAGGGGGGAAUAUUUGAAAAAUGGCGCAAGCCUGAUGCAGCCAUGCCGGGGGUGUGAAGAAGGGCCUUGGGGUGUAAAGUACUUUCAGCGAGGAGGCGUUACUCGCAGAAGAAGCACCGGCUAACUCCGUGCCAGCAGCCGCGGUAAUAC
rnacentral:rRNA from 1 species